AAGAUUAGCCAUGCAUGUCUAGGUAUAACAAUUCAUACUGUGAAACUGCGAAUGGCUCAUUAAAUCAGUUAUAGUUUAUUUGAUGGUAUCUUGCUACAUGGAUAACUGUGGUAAUUCUAGAGCUAAUACAUGCUGAAAGCCCCGACUUCUGGAAGGGGUGUAUUUAUUAGAAUAAAACCAACGGGUGCAAGCCCUUCUUGGUGAUUCAUAAUAACUUCUCGAAUCGCAU
rnacentral:rRNA from 1 species